GGUGAGAUGUCCGAGUGGUUGAAGGAGCACGCCUGGAAAGCGUGUAUGCGGGAAACUGCAUCAAGGGUUCAAAUCCCUUUCUCACCGCCA
rnacentral:tRNA from 1 species